GAACGAUCAUGGCAAAACUGUGGAAACGCAGUGACGCAAAACUACAGGGGCUAAAGCGAUGCUAUGCCAGCCAGUUGCCGUU
rnacentral:ncRNA from 1 species